UACAGAGGUCUCAAGCGUUGUUCGGAUUCAUUGGGCGUAAAGGGUGCGUAGGUGGCGCGCUAAGUCAGGUGUGAAAUUUCGGAGCUUAACUCCGAAACUGCAUUUGAUACUGGCGUGCUUGAGGACUGGAGAGGAGACUGGAAUUCACGGUGUAGCAGUGAAAUGCGUAGAUAUCGUGAGGAAGACCAGUGGCGAAGGCGGGUCUCUGGGCCGAUACUGACGCUGAGGAGCGAAAGCGUGGGGAGCGAACAGG
rnacentral:rRNA from 1 species